rnacentral:misc_RNA from 1 species
GUUAGAGGGACACGUACCUACUCGAAGCCUUGAAUACCCAAGUCCGUCCUGUUUACCUCACUGUAAGACAUGCGACGGGCGACACUGUCCUGUUGCUGGAAUGUUUCUACGAGCAAACCAGCAGUCGCCAAUUGUGCGAUCCACAGAUCAAACGACGGUGGCCCAGCAGCAGCCGUCUCUCUCCGAGAUUGCUGAACUUGGGUUGAGAUAUGACCGACCUUGCCUAGCGAUAGGCCUGACAAGUGUUCCGUAGGUGAACCUGCGGAAGGAUCAUUACUGGCGGUCGGGUCUUUGGCCCGAACCCUCAACCCUAUGUAUACCUUCUCUGUUGCUUCGGCGGGCCCGUGGGGAGACCCACCGCCGGCUUCGGCCGGCCCGUGCCCGUCAGAGGACCUUCAAACUCGAUCAAUGUGUCGUCUGAGUGUCAUACAAUAGUUAAAACUUUCAACAACGGAUCUCUUGGUUCUG